CUUGGAAUGAUGUGGUAAUGAGCAUGAGGUACUACGACCUUUUAUCCACAGCGUCUCCAUUCAGCUUUGAUGUCACCUGAUAAAAUGAUUUUUAUUAUCGAGUGAGCUGCCGUAACGGGAUCUGGUAUGCAUUUUCUGACUCACCCCUCACAAUGGGACGAAGUGAGCAGAUCGAUUGUUUGGGCCCAUCCAACACAAAUUAAAACUUCCUAGGAUAAUCUCUACAAACGCUGCCUCCGCAGCAUGGAUACUAAGCAUAAGGAAUAUUGGCUGUUUUAUAAACAUACCUUCCCGCGAUUGGGUGGUACAGCAUGGUACAACACUCAAAUGGUCUCACAAUUGCUUUUGUUUCAGAAACAUUCUCGGUUGCUAAUCACCAGUUCAAACGAUAUUGUUCAACGAAAUUUUCAGCGAAAUUUGUAUUUAAAAAGAAAUACUACUGGAAUAAUACAAUACAAAUACGUAAAUUGAAAAACUAGCAAUUAAAAAUAUCAAUAGUUGUGUUUACAGAAACCGUUCAAAAAUAAAAAUUU